GAUGAACGCUGGCGGCGUGCCUAAUACAUGCAAGUCGAGCGAACAGACGAGGAGCUUGCUCCUCUGACGUUAGCGGCGGACGGGUGAGUAACACGUGGAUAACCUACCUAUAAUACUGGUAUAACUUCGGGAAACCGGAGCUAAUCCCGUAUAAUAUAUUGAACCGCAUGGUUCAAUAGUGAAAGACGGUUUUGCUGUCACUAAUAGAUGGAUCCGCGCGGCAUUAGCUAGUUGGUAAGGUAACGGCUUACCAAGGCAACGAUGCGUAGCCGACCUGUGAGGGUGGUCGGCCACACUGGAGCUGGGCCAGGGUCCAGAGUCCUACGGGAGGGCGCAGUAGGGAAUCUUCCGCAAUGGGCGAAAGCCUGACGGAGCAACGCCGCGUGAGUGAUGAAGGUCUUCGGAUCGUAAAACUCUGUUAUUAGGGAAGAACAAAUGUGUAAGUAACUAUGCACGUCUUGACGGUACCUAAUAAGAAAGCAACGGCUAACUACGUG
rnacentral:rRNA from 1 species